GACGAACCGUGCGAACGUUGUUCGGAAUCACUGGGCUUAAAGGGCGCGUAGGCGGGCCUACAAGUCCGGGGUGAAAGCCCCCAGCUCAACUGGGGAAGUGCCUUGGAAACUGCAGGUCUUGAGGGAGGUAGGGGCAUGUGGAACUUCGGGUGGAGCGGUGAAAUGCGUUGAUAUCCGAAGGAACGCCGGUGGCGAAAGCGACGUGCUGGACCUUUUCUGACGCUGAGGCGCGAAAGCCAGGGUAGCGAACGGG
rnacentral:rRNA from 1 species